GAUUAUGGCUCAGGAUGAACGCUGGCGGCGUGCUUAUACAUGCAAGUCGAACGUGAAGCUGACUCGGUCAGUGGAAAGUGGCGGACGGGUGAGUAAUACAUAGGAAAUCUGCCCUUAGGAAGGGGAUAACAGUCGGAAACGAUUGCUAAUACCCUAUAUGAGCUUGGUUGCAAUACCAAUCUUGAAAACUCCGGUGCCUAAGGAUGAGCCUGUGCCUGAUUAGCUUGUUGGUGGUGUAAUGGACUACCAAGGCGACGAUCAGUAGCUGGUUUGAGAGGAUGAUCAGCCACAAUGGAACUGAGACACGGUCCAUACUCCUACGGGAGGCAGCAGUAGGGAAUUUUGGGCAAUGGGCGAAAGCCUGACCCAAGCAACGCCGCGUGUGUGAUGAAGCCCCUAGGGGUGUAAAACACUGUCAGUAGGGAAGAAACUUGACUGUACCUACAGAGGAAGCACCGGCUAACUCCGUGCCAGCAGCUGC
rnacentral:rRNA from 1 species